GAUGAAGAACGUAGCGAAAUGCGAUAAGUAAUGUGAAUUGCAGAAUUCAGUGAAUCAUCGAAUCUUUGAACGCACAUUGCGCCCGCUAGUAUUCUGGCGGGCAUGCCUGUCCGAGCGUCAUUUCAACCCUCAAGCCCCCGGGCUUGGUGUUGGGGAUCGGCGAGCCUCCGCGCCCGCCGUCCCCUAAAUCUAGUGGCGGUCUCGCUGUAGCUUCCUCUGCGUAGUAGCACACCUCGCACUGGGAAACAGCGCGGCCACGCCGUUAAACCCCCAACUUCUGAACGUUUGACCUCGGAUCAGGUAGGAAUACCCGCUGAACUUAAGCAUAUCAAUAGGCGGAGGA
rnacentral:misc_RNA from 1 species